ACGGGUGAGUAACACGUGAGUAACCUGCCCUUGACUCUGGGAUAACCUCCGGAAACGGAAGCUAAUACCGGAUACGACGUACGGAGGCAUCUCCUGUACGUGGAAAGAACUUCGGUCAAGGAUGGACUCGCGGCCUAUCAGGUAGUUGGUGAGGUAACGGCCCACCAAGCCUACGACGGGUAGCCGGCCUGAGAGGGUGACCGGCCACACUGGGACUGAGACACGGCCCAGACUCCUACGGGAGGCAGCAGUGGGGAAUAUUGCACAAUGGGCGAAAGCCUGAUGCAGCAACGCCGCGUGAGGGAUGACGGCCUUCGGGUUGUAAACCUCUUUUAGUAGGGAAGAAGCGAAAGUGACGGUACCUGCAGAAAAAGCACCGGCUAACUACGUGCCAGCAGCCGCGGUAAUACGUAGGGUGCGAGCGUUGUCCGGAAUUAUUGGGCGUAAAGAGCUCGUAGGCGGUCUGUCGCGUCUGCUGUGAAAACCCGAGGCUCAACCUCGGGCCUGCAGUGGGUACGGGCAGACUAGAGUGCGGUAGGGGAGAUUGGAAUUCCUGGUGUAGCGGUGGAAUGCGCAGA
rnacentral:rRNA from 2 species